UAUGUGUGUGUGUUUACCCAUACACCAAAACUCUGCUGUGAACCGAAGCGGUUCUGUCAAAAAAUUUCUCAUUACCUUCUACGUAGUCUGCGGCGUAAGCGCUGCGCGCAUGAUCUGCAUCACCAUUUUAUUUAAUUCGUUUUCGCCGGUGAAUGUUAAAUUAAAUGUGCAUUGCCGUCUGAUUAAAUAAUUAACAAAGGAAAUAAAACACCCCAGGAAGUAUGAAAUUGCCGAGCUGCGGAGCCAUCUUCGAAUCCAUGCGGAUCCGAAAUUUUGACGACGUUAACGUACGUCCACACAACACCGUAUUUGUUUAGGACUUUCAGGAGAACUAUCUGGUCCAACAUGUUUGCAAGUGGGACGUAUUCCGGUUGCAUCAAAUAGUAGAUGGAGAAGAACUAAGUUACUCCGCUUCAGUGAUGAAGAAUGAGGAGGAACCUUUUGAAGGGAUCGUCCGUACAGAACACAUGUGGACUGUGUAGCCAGAAUUUUUCCCGGAUAAAAAUCAUGGAUCACGCUAAAGAUCAUCAAAAAUUGGAAGAACUGUUUGCCUGUCGACAAUGCUCACGAGGGCUUCCCAGCACAGCUUGUCCACCGUAUGUAAAUACACCGGAAUUAGACCAUGUGACCGUUCAUUCAUCCAGUCAAAUUUAGUCAUAUAAGCCAGAUAACAGACAUAUACGAUAAACAAACCAAGUAAACCAAAUAAUACGAACAAAAUAAAUGAGACAAACAAGACACAUAAUUAAGAUAAAUAGUG